GAGCUGGGCGAGCUUCACCUUGGAGACGCUCCGCAGCACCUCCAGCGGCGUCACGUCCCCCGUCACCACCACCUUCUUGCGUGCCAGAUCCACCUCGAACGACGUCACGCCUGCGUCAAAAAUUUGUUUGCGCGAAUCAGUGUUUGCCGGCAAUGGUUUGGGAAUAGAUCCAUGGUGCCGCACAUGUGCGCGUCACGGCACAAAGUUGAACCAUGUGCGAAAGGGAAAAGGCGAGCAUGUAGCUUGUCUUGUCACCCGUCCGAAGGCAGCAUGCAACUGGUGUCUGUGACUGACCUGAUUGCUGAUCGAGACAACGGGACUGUUCCUAAUCCUGGCCUUACGUUUGCAUCAUUGAGUUAAGCAGUAGAGAGGACUGGUGGUGUUUGCAAAUCCGAAGGAAAUUUCAGAGCAUGGGCACAAUCAUCUAUUGCUGUUCUAACUACUACUCACUCACUCCGAUCAUAAAUUCUUGUCGAAAUAUUACAUAUACCUAGAUGUUUUUUAAGAAUAGAUACAUCCCUAUUUGGCCAAA